rnacentral:rRNA from 1 species
GACGAACGCUGGCGGCGUGCUUAACACAUGCAAGUCGAACGGAAAGGUCCUGCUUUUGUGGGGUGCUCGAGUGGCGAACGGGUGAGUAUCACGCGAGUAACCUGUCCUUGUAUUUGGGAUAACUUUAGGAAACUGGGGCUAAUAUCGGAUAGGAGCUUUAGCUGCACGGUGUGGGUAGGAAAGUUUCGGCGGUUGGGGAUGGACUGGAGGCUCAUCAGCCUGGUGGUGGAGUAGUGGCUUACCAAGGUUGUGAAGGGUAGCCCACCUGAGAGGGGGGCCGGCCACAAUACGACUAAGGGACGCCCCAGUAGCCUACGGGAGGCAGCGGGGGAGAGUAUUGCAGAGUGAGCGGGAGCCAGUGGCAGCAGCGCCGCGUGCGGGAUGACGGCCUUCGAGUGAUAAACCGCUGUCGCCUGUGACGAAGCGAUGGUGACGGUAAUGGAUAAAAAAGCACCGGCUAACUACGUG